rnacentral:lncRNA from 1 species
AAUAGCCUCAUAUCCUUUGUUGAACAAACCUAUUUAUUUCUCGAUUAUUUGAUAGUACAUUAUCUCUACAAAUAACUCUUCUUGAUUAUAUAGAAAAUCUAAAAUAAAUUCCAAAGAAAUAUUAUGAAAACAUCUCUUUUUUUUAAAGUGAUUAUGUACAUCAUCGACAUACAGUACACACGAUAUAUAUAUAUAUCUUGUUAAGUAAAAAAUCUAACAUAUGGGGUAAGCAUUCCUAAGCUUUUAUGAAAUUCGUUUUAAAAAGCAUCCAGAAAAAGUGGUGUAUAAAUCUCCGCGAAUUAUUCCUGUACUGUAAUCAGGAAGUUUACGGCAAUAUACUUCGUCGCCUUCUAUUAAAUCUGUUGUAACAAAUAUGGAACCAGUAUGCUCAAGUCUUCCUCCCGCUGCGUAUCCUCUUCCUAUUUUAUUGUCGUUCCUCAUGAGUUCUACAUUUACAUAACCAUUGACUACAAGAAAUGAGCAAUGAAUAGUAUACAAUCCAUCAAUAGGAGUAGUAAAUAAUCCUUCUGUGUCGGAGUAUCCAUUUCCAAAAUUAGUUGUUAUGUUGUCGAAUUUAAUUAUCUCACUGUUCUGAGGAGCAUUUUCGGAAAGCGUUGCAAAGAAAGCUAUCGCUUGUUCCACCACUAAUUCGAUGUUUGAAAUAUUUUGGAGCAUAUUUUUUACUCUAGAAUCCAGGAGCUCAUUUGUGCUAACAGAAAUUGCAUCCACAUCACUCAAUAUUUCCUUGUAUCUUCGUAGUACUCCCGCCUGUAUAGCAGUCGUAGUUUUGGAAACGUACGACUGCGUUUUAUUUACAAAUUGAAUAAUAUCGUGUUCGGUCUCAUUUAUUAAUUUAGUUUUUCUAUUGUUAAUCAAAUUGUCACAUUCUGACGUCACUUUGCUCUGAACAAAACUCAAAGAUGUGUUGAAACUUGUAUAUUGAAAAAGUGUAGGAGCUUGUUGAUGCAAGAGGUCUUUAAUCUGAUUAUUGGUUUCGCUUACGGUUUUAAUCUUUCUUUCUAGCUUCAGAAAUAGUUCCUCGCUCCUCUUUUCAAUAAGUUCUUCCACUCUCUCCCUUAUAAUUUUCUGAAGUACCUUUAAGAAUUCUUUGCUACCAAUGUUUAUUUCUAUAUUUUCUUAUAUCUUAUAUGAGUGCGAUAUUUUUUCUAAUAGAAUAGCGACAUGUUUAUAUUAUGAAAAACUUAUUAACGCUAUAUUUUUCUCAUAGAACUGUGACAUUUCUCAAUUACAAAAACAAUGAAAUAUGCAGUUUAAAUAAACAACCAAGAAACAUUGGCAUAUACUUAUGACAGGUUGCCUAUGAUUGCUUACAACCACUUAAAAAAAAAAUAUUAUAACUUUGGUGGAAAGUUUUCUCAUUGUCUAUCAUAUUUUUAAAAAGAUGGAAUAAGCCCUAUAAUUGCUGACACUGACAUUUCGUAAAUGAUAUAAAAUUAGGAUAAUGGAUAUAAUUGCUAUCGUAAUAACUAUCCAACAAAGUUAUAAUUUGACAUUAAUUUUAGUAGUGCCAACAAACGGCCUUCAACAAUGAGCAAAACUAAUAUAGUAUACAUUCAGCUAUAAAAAGACCCGACUUGGCAAAAGAUGAAACGAUUCAAACGAUACAAAAACGACAGUCUAAUGUACAACAAACGAUAAUCGAAAAAAAGAUAUAAAAUACAGCAACUAACGACACACACUGCAUAACCGGCUCCUGACUUAUUACAAGAACAUACAGUAUGUGGCGGGGUUAAACAUGUUUUAGAGCUCUCAAUCCUCCCUCAACCUGAGACAAUGGUGUACAAGCAUGUAUAAGAACUAUUGUAAAAAAUGGAUGGAUUCAUCAGAUCGGCACGAAGCAUAAUUAAAACAAUUAACGUAGACAAAAGACACAAAGUACCUAUCUUAGAGUACGUGCAGCUACUCAAAGUUAGUUUAUUUAUUUUCCUUUUAGUUUAAACAUAUUUAUUUAUAGUGGAUUGGGAAACAAGUUUUGCGACUUAUAUUAAUCCCUUUCCACUUUGUGGUUCCUUUUUUAGGCAAUGAUAUUCCUUUAGCAUCGCUGUGGUGUUUAUGUAUUCCAACUUGUUCGCUAUGCCCGUGUCUGUAUUGGCGUUUUGGAUUUCAAAUAGCGAAAUUUCUUUAUGUAUUACGGGUAAAGUACUAAAUCACAGAUUUCGUUACCACAUAUUACUUAAAACCUUUACUUCAUUCUGUCGUAGAAACAAAUAUUUUGUUUAUAAAUUUAGCUGUAUCUCGAUUAUUUGAUAAUAUAUUUCUGCAUAUAACACUUUUUGAUUAAAUAGAAUAUUUCAAACAAAUUCAAUAAACUAUUAUGCAAACAACUUGAAUGGAAAUGGGUAUAAAAAGAGUAUUUGCAUUCUCGACAUAGUCAUUGCGUACUAAUAUUGUUCCAAUCACACACAUGGUAUAGAUAUCUUGCCAGAUUAACAGUCAAAUGGGGUAUGCAUGCCUAAGCUUUUACGAAAUUCCUAUUAUAAUGUAUCCAGAAAAAGUGGUGUAUAAAUCUCCUCGAAAUUGUUCCUGUACUGUAAUCAGGGAGUUUAUGGCACUAUACUUCGUCGCCUUCUAUUGAAUAUGUUGUAACAAAUAUGGAACCAGUAUUCUCAUGUUUUCCUUCCGCUGCGUAGCCUCUUCCAAUUUUAUUGUCGUUUCUCGUGAGUUUUAUAUUUACAUAACCAUUGACUACAAGAAAUGAGCAAUGAAUAGUAUACAAUCCAUCAAUAGGAGCAGUAAAUAAUCCUUCUGUGACUGAGUAUCCAUUUCCAAAAUUAGUUGUUAUGUUGUCGAAUAUAAUUAUCUCGCCGUUUUGAGGAGCAUUUUCGGAAAGCGUUGCAAAGAAAGCUAUCGCUUGUUCCACGUCUAAUUCGAUGUUUGAAAUAUUUUGGAGCAUAUUUUUUACUCUAGAACUCAGUUGUGCUAACAUAAAUUGCAUUAACAUCACUUAAUAUUUCCUUGUAUCUUCGUAACACUCCCGUCUGUAUAUCAGUCGUAGUUUUGGAAACGUAAUCCCGCAUUUUACUUACAAAUUGAAUGAUAUCGUGUUCGGUCUCAUUCAUUAAUUUAGUUUGUCUAUUGUUAAUCAAAUGGUCACAUUCUGUCGUCACUUUGCUCUGAACUAAACUCAAAGAUGUGUUGAAACUUGUAUAUUGAAAUAGUGUAGGAGCUUUAUGAUGUAAGAGGACUUUAAUCUGAUUAUUGGUUUCGCUUACGUUUUUAAUCUUUCUUUCUAGCUUCAGAAAUAGUUCCUCGCUCAUCUUUUUAAUAAGUUCUUCCACUCUAUCCCUAAUAAUUUUCUGAAGUACCUUUAAGAAUUCUUUGCUACCAUUGUUUAUUUCUGGUACAUUUUCUGGUACAUCCCCACGUUCUCCGGAUGUUUAUAGAACAACAGAAAACAGACAAGAAGUACAAGAUAUUCACUCAAUUUCAUCCUUUAAAAUGUUCUACAAUAAGUUUAUUAUCAUACAUAAAAAUUAACGUACACGAUUCAAAGAUUUGGUUUGGAAGUUUGUCUUUACCUUUAUAACUUCACGUGCCGUAUACGGUGCAGGAAAUACCUACCCUUGUGGAGCACCUGAUUUCAGUCACGGUUUUUAGUGGAGUUCGUGUUGUUUCUUAUUUAAUUAUUUGUAACUGUUGAUGUAAAUGUCUUUUGGUUUGAUGAGUCUUUGUUUACUCAUUGAUUUUGAUUGUUAUUGUCUUCAUAAUGAAGCCUUUAAACUAGCUAAACAUUUAGAUAUUGAAGCAACAUACUCUUGGUAUACUUUUGCAAAAAAUAUGUAACAAGAAAUAAAUAUUGAAAUCAAACUUAUUGAAGAAACUAAAACUUGAAAACAGAAUGAAGCGUAAAAACCCUAAUUAAAAAAAGUUUAUAUCAACUAUUAUAAAACUCUUAUUCUACUUGUAAAAAAAUGGAUGGAUUCAUUAGAUCGGCACGAAGCACAAUUAAAAGAACCAACGUAGACGACAGACGCAAAGUACCUAUCUUAGAGUACGUGUAGCUACUCAAAAUGUGUUAAUUUAUUUUCCUUUCUUGGGCAGUGAUGUUCCUUUUGUAUCGAUGCGGUGUUUAUGUAUUCCAACUUGUUCGCUAUGCCCGUGUCUGUAUUGGCGCUUGGGAUUUCAAAUGUUUCAUUAUGUAUUACUGAUGAAGUACUAAGUCAGAGAUUUAGUUACUACAUAUUACAUAAAACCUUUCACUCUGUCGGAGAAAUAAAGAUUUUUUUUUGUUAAUUUGGCUGUAUCUCGAUUAUUUGAUUAUAUAUUUCUUCAUUAUUCAUAUAACACUUUUUGAUUAUAUAAAAUUGAGAAUGGAAAUGGGGAAUGUGCCAAAGAGACAACAACUCGACCAUAGAAAAAAACAACAGCAGAAGGUCACCAACAGGUCUUCAAUGUAGCGAGAAACUCCCGCACCCGGAGGCGUCCUUCAGCUGGCCCCUAAACAAAUAUAUACUAGUUCAGUGAUAAUGAACGCCAUACUAAUUUCCAAAUUGUACACAAGAAACUCAAAUUAAAAUAAUACAAGACUAACAAAGGCCAGAGGCUCCUGACUUGGGACAGGCGCAAAAAAUGCGGCGGGGUUAAACAUGUUUGUAUAGACUAUUUAAAACUAAUUCCAAUAAACUAAUAUGCAAACAACUUUAUUUUUAGAAUGGAAAUGUGUAUAUAGUGAGUAUGUACAUUCUCGACAUAGUCAUGGCGUACAAAUAUUGUUCAAGUCACACACAUAGUAUAGACAUCUUGCCAGAUUAAAAGUCAUAUAGGGUACCCAUACCUAAGCUUUUAUAAAAUGUAUCCAGAAAAAGUGGUGUAUAAAUCUCCGCGAAUUAUUCCUGUACUGUAAUCGGGAAGUUUACGGCAAUGUACUUCGUCGCCUUCCAUUAAAUCUGUUGUAACAAAUAUGGAACCAGUAUUCUCAUGUUUUCCUUCCGCUGCGUAGCCUCUUCCUAUUUUAUUGUAGUUCCUCAUGAGUUCUAUAUUUACAUAACCAUUGACUACAAGAAAUGAGCAAUGAAUAGUAUACAAUCCAUCAAUAGGAGCAGUAAACAAUCCUUCUGUGACGGAGUAUCCAUUUCCAGAGUUUGUUAUAAUGUUGUCGAAUUUAAUUAUCUCACCGCUCUGAGGAACAUUGUCGGAAAGUGUUGCAUAGAAAGCUAUCGUUUGUUCCACCUCUAAUUCGAGGUUGGAAAUAUUUUGGACAAUUGUGUUUACUCUAGAACUAAGGAUCUCACUUGUACUAACAGAAAUUGCAUCCACAUCACUCAAUAUAUCCUUGUAUCUUCGUAACACUCCCGUCUGUAUAUCAGUCGUAGUUUUGGAAACGUACGAACGCAUUUUACUUACAAAUUGAAUGAUCUCGUGUUCGGUCUCAUUUAUCAAUUUAGUUUUUCUGUUGAAGAUAUAAUUGUCACUUUUUCUCGCAACUUUGCUCUGAACAUCACUAAAAACUGCGUAGAAACUUGUAUAUUGAAACAUUAUUGGAGCUUGUUGAUGCAAGAUAUUUUUAAUCUGGUUGUUGGUUUCGCUUACGGUUUUAAUCUUUCUUUCUAGCUUCAGAAAUAGUUCCUCGCUCCUCUUUUCAAUAAGUUCUUCCACUCUCUCCCUAAUAAUUUUCUGAAGGACCUCUAAAAAUUCUUUGCUACUAUUGUUUAUUUCUGGUACAUUUCCAGGUACAUCCCCACGUCCUCCUCGUGUUUUAUAAAACAACAGAAAACAAAAAAGUACAAGAUAUUCACUCAAUUUCAUCCUUUAAUAUGUUCUAGCAUCAGAUGAUAUUCUAACACAUGAAAUGGACGUAGAUUAUUAUAUCAUUUCCUAUUUUAAGUACACACUUCUGUUAUCCGGUUU